rnacentral:rRNA from 1 species
CCUACGGGAGGCAGCAGUCGAGAAUCAUUCACAAUGGGGGAAACCCUGAUGGUGCGACGCCGCGUGGGGGAAUGAAGGUCUUCGGAUUGUAAACCCCUGUCAUGUGGGAGCAAAUUAAAAAGAUAGUACCACAAGAGGAAGAGACUGCUAACUCUGUGCCAGCAGCCGCGGUAAUACAGAGGUCUCAAGCGUUGUUCGGAAUCACUGGGCGUAAAGCGUGCGUAGGCUGUUUCGUAAGUCGUGUGUGAAAGGCGCGGGCUCAACCCGCGGACGGCACAUGAUACUGCGAGACUAGAGUAAGGGAGGGGGAACCGGAAUUCUCGGUGUAGCAGUGAAAUGCGUAGAUAUCGAGAGGAACACUCGUGGCGAAGGCGGGUUCCUGGACAUUAACUGACGCUGAGGCACGAAGGCCAGGGGAGCGAAAGGGAUUAGAUACCCCAGUAGUC